rnacentral:lncRNA from 1 species
CCGCGCUUCGAGCCGCCGCCAUGUCGGCCUCCUCCUGCGAGCGGAUCCUCACAGAGCCGGAGAGCGUGGGCCGGAGGAGGAGUGCGGGGACGACCGAAGGGGCCGGGUGCCCAGCGCAGAUGGCUGUGUCAGAGCCGGGGGGCAGCGCCGCGAAUUGGGUAAAGAAUUAGUAUCCUAUAUAACAUCAUGAUCGACAUUGAAUGGUUGAGGGAUCGGUAACAUUCCAAGAUGUGACUAUGGCCUUUACCGAGAAGGAAUGGGAGCAACUAGAUCCUGCUCAGAGGAGCCUGUAUAAGGAUGUGAUGCUGGAGAACUACAGCAACCUUGCCUCGAUGGG